CGGCUUCUAACUGCUUCGGCGUCUCUGUCUCCAGGAGCGGCGGGAAUCCUGGUCUCUCAGAGCAGCGGUUCGCGCAGGGGCGCGCGCCAGUUCAGACAGCAGCCCCCUUGGUGCUUGUCCUUAGCCCUGCCCUGGCACAGCAGACAGGACACAUCUGACUGGCCUCGUUCUCAAGCUGUGACUGACGUCUGGUAUCAGAGAGUUGAGAAUUUUUAGUCUUCAAUUCAGUGAAAACCCUGGAUCGCUGGCUCAGGACUGGGACAUCAGCAAAAUGUGGAACACACAGGGAUCAGCAGGAGCCCAGCGCAACCUCCCUUUCAGCUGAUUCAACUACUGCUGUUGGCCGUAGCAGUGCCAAGGCAGAGGGACCGUGCAUGAUUUACAAGUUCAACCUGGGAUGCGUGACAGAGCAGGACACGGAAAGGGUGUCAAAAAAAUGCAAGUAUGAUAAAAGCUACAUUGAAUUUGGAUUUACAUGGACUGGGGAUGCUGAAUAUCCUCAGCCACAGUGUGUCUUAUGUGGUGCAGUUUUACCAAACAACGGUCUUAAACUGUCCCUUCUUCGCCAGCAUCUAGUUUCAAGUUUUUUCACUGACCACCUCCCCUUUGCACUGGUCAUCUUGCUUGGAAGAUACUGCCUGGCUUCAGCGAUUAGCCUACUUGGCAGACAUUUUUUCUUGCCUCAACGAGCUCAGUUUAGGCCUUCAGGGCUUAAGCACCACUAUUUUUGAAACACAAGACAAAAUCGAAUCCAUGAUAAAGAAACUACUAUUUUGGGAUAGCUGCUUAAAGAGAAAUAUGAUUAACUGCUUCCCAACAUUGCAAGAGUUUCUUUACCCUCAGAAAUUAAAUGCUGAAAAUGACUUGUGACUGAAGCUCUCCCCAAUUUUCCCUGCCAUCAGUGAUUUUUGUGAUUAAAAAGCAAGGACAUCCAUCACACUGAUAGGCGGAAUAGAUCCCUUGGGACCCAAAAGGGUUUUCCCAAGUUCCCUUAUAAAAAUAUGAGGAUUAGAAAUGCCUACCUGAGAAGGGGGAAGGUUUGAGCAGCUCCCUUAGGUGUUGGAACUGGAGCAGCUGCACUCGGAUACAAAAAAGUAAACUGCGCAGGAAGAAGUUGCUGAUCUAGAGAGAAACAACUCCACUCAUGGAUUGGAAAAGUUUCAGACUGUAUGUGGGUCUGGUCAUGAUUUUUUUUUCACCACAAAAUGCACUUUUGGGGGUACAAAACUAUUUGCUGAAUUCAGUGAACAGUUUUGGCUGGUUUAAAAAAAGUCAAGUCAAAAAUUUAUUUAUUUAUUUAUUUUUAAAUUGAACACCCAGAAAGCAACAGGACGACUUCUGAAGCGAAUUUCCCUGGGUGCUGACUCCGAGAACCAACUGAUCUCUUUGCCCAGAAAAGGAUUUUCUUUACUAACAAGGUGUUUCCUGCCGCUUGCAAGUAGGGUGCUAGAGAUGAGCCCUGUAUCACUGUUGCUAGUACAUGGAGAACAUUGCUGCAGCCUGUGAACUCCAUACUCCUCUGCAAACUGUGCAGUUUACCCAGUAAGACAAAAAAAAAAAAAUGAGAACAGAUGACCAAGAGGGAAACCUGGGCCCAUGCCCAACUCAACACUUGGGCUGGUACACCAUUAGCCUAGGUUUGUUGUCUUCUGUUUUACACUUUGGUCCAGCUGUGGCCCAUCUGUUCUGCACAUGGUACAUGCCGUGUCCUGGCUGACAGCAUAGCGGGCAGAGAGGUGAGCAAACCACGUGCAACACCUUGUAAACUGCCCCAAAUCCCACUGUGAGGACAGCUGCUAGUGGGUCAUUUGAUUUGCUCUAGCUCAGAUGGGUGGAAGGUGUAAGGAAAUGGUGUUGGAAGCUCUGUCUCUGCUACCCCUGGGGUGGCUAGCUCCAGUCACUAACUCUGUCCGACUCAGUCUCUGCCUCGGUCUGCUCUCCAUGCUGACAGGCGAGGCUGAUUCUCCGUUGCCGAACCAAGCCUGAGCAGAGGAACUAUUUGCAGAGUUCAGCAGUAGGGCUCGGCGUCCCCUGAAAGGAGAUGGAACAGUGUGACCAGGACCUACACAGAUACAACUACACUGCAUACAAGGAGGAGGAGCAGGCAAAGAUUGGGAAGAAGAGACAGGAGAUGGAGAGCUGGGCUGGGGUGAAGGGAAGCUGGAGACUGGGGGGGUGAAGGAGGAAGGGGAAUUAACUAGUGCAGACCAGCAUGUCCAUGUAGUUAUGGAGGUGUGCAGUGAUUGAGGCUGCAGAAGAUCUUGUGGAGGGACUGGCCUCCCUGAGACAAUUCACACAUCCUGACCAGCUCUGCCUCUGCCGGUUUUUCUCCCUUUAGUGUCUCGCCCACCUUAUUGCUACUUCCUACCUGGAAACCCAGGUGGCUAAGACUGAGGAAUGCAAUUCCUACUCCAGGGGAAAGAGACAUUCCAAGAUUAAAGGAAAGUCAGACUAGGAACCAGGACCUAGCAGUGAUCAAAUCAGUUUCUAAAUGAACCCAGAGCACAUCUCUGAAAGCCUCUUCCUGAUCCUUGCAUUCAGCUGGGAGCUGCAUUCCCAGAAUUGUGUUCUGCAAAAUGGUGGCCUCCUAAGUCACUUCAUUAUUUUGUUAAUUGUUGUUGACAGUUUAAUAACUUCUGAAGUUAUUUCAGCUUCAUAGCGACUGGAUGCCAUGACUAGAAUCCCCUUGUGCGCUACAGUUUCCCGGCGUUUUGGAGUCUUACCCUUUGAAGAGGAAGCUGCAGGUAAUGAGAAUGUCAAACAGGAGGAACUUCAGCAACAACGCUCUGAUAGCCAAGAGAAGCAGGAUUUGUGAACAGACGGGCAGAGCUGAAACAAAUGGGAUCAUGUACCUGAUUAGGCCCUGGGGUGUCACACAGAAGAAUUACCAAUGGUCCCUAUUGGGACUGUGUAUGGCCGCAGUGCCCAACAUUAUACACAAGAGGGUCACAUAAACCUAAGCACAACCUUGUGUGUGCCAAACAGCUUCCACAUAUUUUAAUAAGAUUUAAAGUAACCUGUAUUGAUUUAUAUUUUAAGUUCUCUUGUUUCGUAUGUAUUUAGAUAGGUUGUUUCUAUGUAUGGUAUUGUCUACUUACACUCUUGAGUAAACUAAAAAGAUGUAAACAUGAUGCCAGAACACUAAUAAAUCAGCC